GCAAGUCGAGCGGUAACAGGGGUAGCUUUCUACCCGCUGCCGCGCGGCGGACGGGUGAGUGAUGCAUAGGAAUCUGCCCGAUAGUGGGGGAUAACCUGGGGAACCCAGGCUAAUACCGCAUACGUCCUACGGGAGAAAGGGGGCUUCGGCUCCCGCUAUUGGAUGAGCCUAUGUCGGAUUAGCUAGUUGGUGAGGUAAUGGCUCACCAAGGCAACGAUCCGUAGCUGGUCUGAGAGGAUGAUC
rnacentral:rRNA from 1 species